rnacentral:rRNA from 1 species
UACGUAGGGUGCGAGCGUUGUCCGGAAUUAUUGGGCGUAAAGAGCGUGUAGGCGGCUUGGCAAGUCCGCUGUGAAAACUCGAGGCUUAACCUCGAGACGUCGGUGGAAACUGCCUGGCUAGAGUCCGGAAGAGGAGUGUGGAAUUCCGGGUGUAGCGGUGGAAUGCGCAGAUAUCAGGAAGAACACCGGUGGCGAAGGCGGCAUCCUGGACCGGCAUUGACGCUGAGGCGCGAAAGCUAGGGGAGCAAACGGG